GAUGAACGCUGGCGGCGUGCCUAAUACAUGCAAGUCGAGCGAACAGACGAGGAGCUUGCUCCUCUGACGUUAGCGGCGGACGGGUGAGUAACACGUGGAUAACCUACCUAUAAGACUGGGAUAACUUCGGGAAACCGGAGCUAAUACCGGAUAAUAUAUUGAACCGCAUGGUUCAAUAGUGAAAGACGGUUUUGCUGUCACUUAUAGAUGGAUCCGCGCCGCAUUAGCUAGUUGGUAAGGUAACGGCUUACCAAGGCAACGAUGCGUAGCCGACCUGAGAGGGUGACCGGCCACACUGGAACUGAGACACGGUCCAGACUCCUACGGGAGGCAGCAGUAGGGAAUCUUCCGCAAUGGGCGAAAGCCUGACGGAGCAACGCCGCGUGAGUGAGGAAGGUCUUCGGAUCGUAAAACUCUGUUAUUAGGGAAGACCAAAUGUGUAAGUAACUAUGCACGUCUUGACGGUACCUAAUCAGAAAGCCACGGCUAACUACGUG
rnacentral:rRNA from 1 species